rnacentral:rRNA from 1 species
GACGAACGCUGGCGGCGUGCUUAACACAUGCAAGUCGAACGGAAAGGCCCCUUUGGGGGUACUCGAGUGGCGAACGGGUGAGUAACACGUGAGUAACCUGCCCUUGACUUCGGGAUAACUUCAGGAAACUGGGGCUAAUACCGGAUAGGAAUCCUUGCUGCAUGGUGGGGGUUGGAAAGCUUCGGCGGUUUUGGAUGGACUCGCGGCGUAUCAGCUUGUUGGUGGGGUAGUGGCUUACCAAGGCUUUGACGGGUAGCCGGCCUGAGAGGGCGACCGGCCACAUUGGGACUGAGAUACGGCCCAGACUCCUACGGGAGGCAGCAGUGGGGAAUAUUGCACGAUGGGCGGAAGCCUGAUGCAGCAACGCCGCGUGCGGGAUGACGGCCUUCGGGUUGUAAACCGCUUUCAGCAGGGGCGAAGCUUGUGGUGACGGUACCUGCAGAAGAAGCACCGGCUAACUACGUG